AAACUUCAACACCUAUAUAUAUUAGACGUAAUCUGUUCACCCAAAAUCACGAAAUUUUCGAAACAAAAAGGGCAGAUAUACAGAAUUUAUUAUUCACGAACAUCGAUGUAAGCCAAGAUAAUCUCGAGGAAGACCAUAAGGAAGAGCAUGUAUUAGACAACGAAGAAGACAUAGAAGAAGUCACAGAAGAAGACCACGUAGUAGACCACGAGAAAGACCACAUGGAAGACAUUGAGGAAGAACAUAAAGUUUUUCAAAGUGCUUU
rnacentral:lncRNA from 1 species